rnacentral:rRNA from 1 species
CCUACGGGUGGCAGCAGUGGGGGAUAUUGCACAAUGGGGGAAACCCUGAUGCAGCGACGCCGCGUGUGGGAAGACGGUCCUCUGGAUUGUAAACCACUGUCCCCAGGGACGAAGAUGACAGUACCUGACCAAGAAGCCCCGGCUAACUACGUGCCAGCAGCCGCGGUAAUACGUAGGGGGCAAGCGUUAUCCGGAUUUACUGGGUGUAAAGGGAGCGUAGACGGUUAUGUAAGUCUGGAGUGAAAGCCCGGGGCCCAACCCCGGGACUGCUUUGGAAACUGUGUAACUGGAGUACAGGAGGGGCAGGCGGAAUUCCUGGUGUAGCGGUGAAAUGCGUAGAUAUCAGGAGGAACACCGGCGGCGAAGGCGGCCUGCUGGACUGAAACUGACGUUGAGGCUCGAAAGCGUGGGGAGCAAACAGGAUUAGAUACCCGAGUAGUC